rnacentral:sRNA from 1 species
CACACGUGGGUGAAGGCUUCCUGCUGUGUUGGCAGGCCGCCAUCCGGUGUUUCGGGAAAUGGUUUUCCGAUACGCACGCCCACGGAGGCUUAACCGGAAAAGGAGUAGUAUU